rnacentral:rRNA from 1 species
GACGAACGCUGGCGGCGUGCUUAACACAUGCAAGUCGAACGGAAAGGCCCUGCUUUUGUGGGGUGCUCGAGUGGCGAACGGGUGAGUAACACGUGAGUAACCUGCCCUUGACUUUGGGAUAACUUCAGGAAACUGGGGCUAAUACCGGAUAGGAGCUCCUGCUGCAUGGUGGGGGUUGGAAAGUUUCGGCGGUUGGGGAUGGGCUCGCGGCUUAUCAGCUUGUUUGUGGGGUAGUGGCUUACCAAGGCUUUGGCGGGUAGCCGGCCUGAGAGGGUGACCGGCCACACUGGGACUGGGGAACGGGCCAGACUCCUACGGGGGGCAACAGGGGGGAAAAUUGGACAAUGGGCGGAAGCCUGAUGCAGCGACGCCGCGUGGGGGAUGACGGCCUUUGGGGUUUAAACCGCUUUCCGCAUGGAAGAAGGGGGAGGGACGGGAAGUGGAGAAAAAGCGCCGGCUAACUACGUG